AUCUAGCUUACGUGUCCCAAAUAGGAUGAAACGCACGUCCUGGAU
rnacentral:hammerhead_ribozyme from 1 species